rnacentral:lncRNA from 1 species
CACCACCUUGCAACAGUCAAGUAGUCAACCACAGGGGAUGGAAUAGGGGCGACGGGCUGGUGGUGGAUGCAGCACGUGACCGUAGGGCGGCAGGCGAGCAGCUGGUCAGCGGAUGGAUGCGGUGAGAGCAGCAUGAGUUAGGCCACCGUCACGAGGGAGGUCGACGGGCGGCAGAGAUUCUGGGCGUCGUGAGGAGGUGUGCGUGUGGAUAAGGCGUGCAGGACAUUUUCUUUUUCCUUUUUUUCGGCUAGCAAUUUGGUGAAACCUCUUAUGGGAGAUUGUUGAUUGGUUAAGUAAAAUGUGCCUAAUAAGUAGGUUCUGUGCUUCUGGUUCAUGCCAUGGCCUGGCCAACGCGUAAGAACAUGUGACAUUAUUUUUUUGUCGAUAUUUUUUUAUACCUA